UGAUGCAACUGAGUUCUGAUUGGUCA
rnacentral:piRNA from 1 species